rnacentral:misc_RNA from 1 species
GAGAGAGAGGAUGAAGGAGGAAGAGAGUGCGCGGCGCUUCGUUUCGCCGCAACCGCGAGGUCCAGAUUCUAGAAACAACCCCCCCGCGGAGGACGUUGCCGAGGUCUUGACGUUAACGAGACAUCCUCGUGUCCUUAUGCGCGAAGCGCUUAAAGGUCGAGAUUAACGUUAAGUGACACCGCUCGGCUACGGUGAGCCGCCUGGCGCGACGGAGUCGUCGUAUAGUCACCUUCGUUCGCGAAGCAACGAGGCAACGCGACGUCUCUCGCGAGGGGUGUGUGCGAAAGGGCCGCGAGAGAGAGUAGAGAGAGAGCCGCGAUCGAUAAGCACCGAAAAGCGGAGCGGAAAGAGCGGCGGCACGAGUCCUCCGGCCGGAGCGCGGUCCUAUCCUGCUAGAGAGAACGCGAUGCUGCGACUUGCGUGCGUAAUCUCUCCCUGGUCAUCAUACCGACUUACGUCCAUCGCUUUCACGCGAUGUACGCGCGCACGCGUGCGUAUCUACGCAUAGGCGGGAUGGUCAGGCGGGAUCUUCGUGCUUCGUGAAAUAUCUCCAAAAUUCAAAUACUCGUCGGACGUUUCCCCAAGCCAGAGUGGAAGGGACGCAGCUUUUCCAUCCGGUGUUGCCACGGAAAUUUACUUUGGGAUCUCGUAGUUCCAUGUGCGAUCGAACGCAAAGUGUAAUACCCGAGAUACCCGGGAUCUUCUCGGGUACCUCUCGGACCGAUCGACGUCGUACGAACUCACGGUAUGCCCGAAAUUCUCAGACGCAAUAAACCUAUUUGAUAUCAUCGUGAGUGCCAUUUGAUAUCAUCGGUUAGACCUUCUCAAUUGUGUUUGCGUUUAGUGCUCCAGAUAAUUAACAAGAAGAAUUGUUAUACACAAAUUGUUACACACGCGAGUCUUACCGAUGCAUCUUGAAGAAAUUGAUACCGAAUUUCGGACGGCAAUGUGAAAUGGAAGCGAGAAGGACUCUUCCAUCAUACGUGUCUGGGAAAUAAUGGAAGACGAUCAUAUCCAAGAAGAUCCAUGAUAUCAAAACUCAUUUCGCUGCGCUCAUCGUUGUAAAUUUCUCACAGCGUGUCGCUAGUACUCUUGAAACGUAUGUUUUCAACGUUCUCUCUCAGAAUUCUUUCUAAAUUCUAAUUCUCAUCAAGAAGCAGCUACGUUUGUAGAAUCAUGUCUGCUAUCUCCGAAAAGCAGAAUGCGCGAUGUUGCGCAUGACCUCGUCUGAAAUUAUUAAACAGCCACUGGACGAAAUUGCGAAGUAAUGAUCAACGACACGCGACGACCGAAGCUGGCGACCACCAUCGCGGGUUACAGUCAGACGAGUCGUACGUGUAAUCGUCGACAUGUGUCUGUAUAUAAUGGUGACAGCGGCAGAUUGUUGUUUGGGAUCGUCCUGUUUUGUUGUUACAUCACAGUGACAUGCGGCUCUAAGAUCAGCAUGUGGCAUGGAAAGAGUUUUAAGGAUCUUCUGGCAGCUGUAUCGUCAAAACACUCACCUCACUAUCCGCAAAUGGGCUAUUGCGACUUCGACACGGAUUGCGAUUGGUCGUGGAAUGAUACCCAUGGUUUUAAGAAAGUCAAAGCGCGCACCAGUCUGUCAAGAGCUUUUCCGAACACGGACGCUAACAAUUCCUCGAAUGGCCAUUUUCUGUGGUUCAGCGGCAAAGGGGAUGCUCAUAUAUGGUCCAAAUCGAUUCCUCGUACGGGUCCGCGUUGCCGCAUCGAAUUUUCACUUUAUAUGGUGGAAAUGGAAAUCGGAUUCAUAAAUCUCGUCAUACAAACUAACAACAUGAGUUCCAUCGCGGUGACAAAAAGCGGAAAUAAUAGCUCCAUAUGGAAGAAAAUAAGUUUUUCAUUACGCGCGAUUGAUCAGUCCUAUAAAUUAGUUUUAGAGGUCUACGUACCCUAUCCUAAUUCGAGCAUCGGCGUUGACAAUCUUCGCCUAGUUAAUUGCUUUCCAGAAUCCAUUGGAGAUUGUACGGAAGAUAUGUUUCGGUGUAACAACGGUUCUUGCUUAAACAGGACCCGUAUCUGCGAUUUCACGAAAGAUUGCCCUGAUGGCGAGGACGAAGCACUCGAAUGUGACAAGAUUCCGAAGAACGCGAGGUGUAAUUUCGAAGAUGGUUGGUGCGGAUGGGCGAACGUUCCUGAAAGACCUCUAAAUUGGACUCUUCAUAAAGGUCCUACGCCGACAGAAAGAACUGGACCCAGUUACGAUCAUACUUAUCGUAAUGAAACCGGAACGUACGCGUUUGUAAACAUGGCUUCUAAAGAUAUGAAAUAUGGCAGUCGAGGCACCAUUACAAGUCCUCUGUAUAAUCCAACACCACCUUACGCCAGCAACCCUAAAAGUCCUUAUUAUAAAUCAUGUCAAGUACGGUUUUUCUAUCACAAACAUGGUCCACAUGCCGCAUCUCUUGGACUCUUUUUGGUCCAAGUAAGACCACACGGAAAUCAUACCGAAAACUUAUGGUGGUCGUAUGGAACUAAUAGCGAUAUCUGGUAUAAUGAAGCUGUUGCUCUACCUGAUAUAAAAUAUAGGUACCACUUGCAAUUUGAAGCGUCCAGAGGGUAUUCUUCCAAAAGUGAUAUAGCAAUUGACGAUAUUUCUUUGAGUCGAGAAUGUUUUGGCAUUGGAGUUCCACGUGAAGUUGUAGGUAAUUUUAAUUACAAUACACCCGUUAUCGAGUCCGAAAUAAUGCCAGCGCAGCAUCCAGAUUUUGUAAAUGAGACGGUUAUUCGAAUUACCACUUGCGCGGCUUCCGGCAGGAAAGGUCCUACUGAUGAGAAAUGUACUGAAAAAUAUAAUAACACAAAUGUAGAAUUGUUCAUACCGUCACAAGAGGGGGAAAGAUUUAAUUUGUAUGGAGUCCAACGAUGGACUGCACCACGCGGUGAAUACUACACUUUAAUCGCCAUCGGAGCACGAGGAGGCUUGGGCUCGAGCAAUACCGGCAUCACUUUGGGUGCAUUUGUUCGCGGUGUCAUAGAACUCCAAAAAGGCGAUCAGUUAUAUUUCAUGGUUGGUCAAGAGGGAACGGAUGCGUGUGCCAAAAAUCUUGGCUUAAAAAAAACUGCCUGUCCGUCGAAUCAAUAUGCCGACUUAUCACUAUCGCAGGCAUCGAAAAUGCGAGAAGUGAAGAAGGUUGAGUUUAGGAAUCCUGGUGGCGGCGGCGGUGGUGCGACUACCAUUUUCACAUUGAAAGCAAAUGGUGAUCUGGAGCCCAUCUUAAUCGCGGGUGGUGGCGGUGGUUUAGGAUUGAAUCCUACUAUGGACGAUGGAUUACAGCAUGGACGCGGUCCCUUUCCCAUGGGUAGACUUUCAUCUUCUCCGUCCAAUUUUUCAGAACGCAUGGGUGGACCCGGUGCUAGUUGGAAUGGUACAUGGCCUAAUUUUCAACGAAAGGCUUGGGGAACGCCAUUAAUUUACGGAGGUGUAGGAGGUAUCGGUUGUGAAUCGGGAACCGAAAUUCAUGGUGACGGAGGCUUUGGCGGAGGUGGGGGCGGUUGCCAAUCAGGGGGUGGUGGCGGAGGUUACAUUGGUGGGAAUGCUGGACAGAAUGAUGGAAAUGGUGAGGGUGGUUAUUCAUACGCCAAUCAGAAGCUCACCGAUGUUUAUUUCAAAGCUGCAGCUCAUUCUGGCCAAGGCGAGGUCUUCGUCAUACCCGCGAUCAGUGGUUGCGGUUGCGAUUAUCGUUGCGUCGCGCUCGAUCAGUACUUGAGCGAGACCAAGUGUCUCUGUCCUCAGGGUUGGUUGCUCAGUAACGAUUCAAAAUCCUGCAUCAUGGCUGAUGAUUCCAAGGAUGGUCAUCAAACGUACAUGAUCCAACUUGUAGUUGUAAUUAUUGGCUUGCUUACUAUUAUUGGAAUUUGCCUAAUAUCUUAUAAACGGUACCAAAAACAAAAAGCGCUUUCCCAUCGCCGCCAAGUGAUGUUUGGCAACGGCACUGAAUUAGCUGCAUUGCGUCCAGGACACCAGUCGGACACGAUGAUGACCGAAUACAACCCCAACUACGAGUUUGCUGGCAAUCUCUAUAGCUUCAAAGACUUGCCGCAAAUACCUCGCGAGUGUAUCGAUUUAGUAAAACCUCUCGGCCAAGGCGCAUUUGGCGAAGUUUUCCAGGGCGUUUACAAAUACGGAGGUGACGAACACCCCGUCGCUGUCAAGACGCUACCAUCUUUAUCCACGACGCAAGCAGAAGCUGAUUUCAUGAUGGAGGCGUUAAUAAUGAGCAAAUUUAAUCAUCCGAAUAUAGUACACUUUAUCGGCGUCUCUUUUGACAAACAUCCUAGAUACAUCGUUCUCGAAUUAUUAGCCGGAGGCGACCUUAAGAAUUUUCUACGUGAAGAACGGCCUCGAUCAGACCGACCUACAUCAUUGACAAUGCUAGAUCUUAUUAUGUGCGGCUAUGAUAUCGCAAACGGCUGUAAAUAUAUGGAGGAAGCGCGUUUUAUACACCGAGAUAUCGCCGCUAGGAAUUGUUUAUUGACAACUAAAGCACCGGGUCGUACCGUUAAAAUCGCAGAUUUCGGUAUGGCCAGGGACAUUUAUAGAAGCGAUUAUUAUAGAAAAGGCGGCAAGGCGAUGCUACCCAUAAAAUGGAUGCCACCCGAAAGUUUCUUGGACGGCAUAUUCACUACAAAAACUGAUGUCUGGGCCUUCGGCGUGCUCCUGUGGGAAAUUAUGUCAUUCGGAUAUAUGCCCUACACCGGAUGUGCAAAUCGUGAAGUUAUGUCGAUGGUACAGUCUGGUGGUCGUCUUGAGAAACCCGCGGGAUGCCCAGAUCCUAUAUAUGGAAUCAUGACGCGAUGCUGGCAUCCACGGCCUGAUGACAGGCCAAGUUUCUCUACUAUUGCUGAAAGAAUCGGUUAUUGUUUACAGGAUCCUGAUGUAAUAAAUAAACCCACGCCUAAUUUCGACAUAUUGCCACACAUUUGUGAUCGUGAAAUAACAAUUAUGAGACCGGAUCCGGAAGCGGAAUGCAUCAAUGUGCAGUCUAAUUUGGAUAGCGGUUACAUACAACCGAGAGUCAGCGAUCCACGUUCCGUUGCACGUCGUGUGGAUCAAGCUAUGGGUGGCACCGCCUACGAUUCCGAAAAUGAAAAAUCGAUCGAGGAUAAAUACGGCGAGUCUUACGCGAAAUCAACGGGAUGCCAGCAAGGAUUCAGUUGCAAUACCUGUGAUUCUAGUAUGGAUACCUUUGAACAAAUUUACAACAGUGACAAUGAUGAAGAUCAUGAUGACGAUGUGAGCGAAAAUAAGGACAAAAAGAGGAUCAACCAAUCGGAUCGACAAGAAAACAGGGCAAUACAUCGAAACAGUGACAUCGAAGACCACGAUAAUAUAGACAAUGGCAACAACCGUCCAGAGGAUGAAUGUCAUAUGACUGCCAACAUCGAUAGUGCAAUAACGGAUCGUAAAAAUGGUAAUGAGAGCACAACGACUACCGACACCAAUUCCGACUCUCUGAUAGCACAAUCCUCGGACACUCCGCCCGACACAAUAACGAACUCAUCGCCCAACAUGCGCUCUUGUUCGUCAAGUCGUAUCAUCGGCCUCAACGCCAAUGUUAGUAAUGUGAACGGUAUGGUGAAGAAGAAUACCUUGAAGGCAACCCUGAGUCUGGACCCGAGCGCGCUCUGCAGAGGCACCAUCCCUUACGAAAAGAUCACAACACAACGCUUGAGCAGUUCAUACACGCCGGGCAGUAAGGAACUAAGGAAGGUAACUUGACCUCUCCCCUACAUUCGACGUCCUGCAAAGUUUCCAUCUGUACAUGACCGUGGUCCUUGAUCGAAGGAUUCCCUGGGUCACGAGCUGCCAAGGGAAGAAGAGUGCUCCUGCUGAGAUUUAUCCGAGGGGGGUUGACGAGGCUGCCCGGCCGCGCUCGGCUGCAACGUUGCUCGUCGAUUGCAGCUGCAACGAUCGGCCACAACGACUGCGCUUAUAAGGGAUACACAGCUCGUAGAACUCUCCUCGCCUCCGUGGGUCCAGGACAACGAAUACUCGCGUCGUUAUUAUUCUGAGGAGACCCUCCUGUGAAUGGGAAUCGAGGGAAACCUUCGAAUUUCUUUUCAUAGACGACGCUUUUUUGAUGCGCGCCAAACAUUGGUUUCCAUAAGAAAGACACGCGAUUAUCGUAAGUCGGAAGAAAAGAGAUUGUUACAAAUGAACGCAAAAUAAGUGAGUUAUGUACAUACGGAAAAGACGAAAGAUACCAAAUACGUAAACAUGUAUUCAAUACGUCGUUAAGCGUCACAUAUAUACACGUACAACCAUAUACUUUGCAAGAUGAUCUCGUCAAGUAAACUUUCUGCGUGAUAGCGAUGGGGCAGAAAUUUGUAAAAUUAUUGAAUCACUCGUUAACGUGGAUCUUCGAAUUAAUCAGAGUGACAUAUGUAGCUCGUGAAAUCAACGUUAAAAACGUGGAUACGUACUUGGAAAUUACAGAUUGGGAAAAAUGUUUUUGUGAUGUACAUAUAUUUGACAUUUAAAAAUCAUCUAAGAAAUGCGAGUAGUCUUGUCUUCGACAUAAAGUAAAUCCCUGGUUGAAGACAGUACAGCCGUAUUGUCCUAUUUAUUUACACGAUUAAGGAUUCCGACGGAAUUAAUACGGAUAUGAAGGGUACUAUGGCUGUCAAGUAAAAUGUUACACUGUAAUAUCGAUGUAAAAAAUCUCCGUAGGCUGAUCGUCUACUCGUGACUCUCUCUAACCAAAGAGGCGACGAUCUAUGAACUCCUCAUUGGUGCACCAUCACUAUCGUAAAGUGGACAGCGAUAAAUGCGUCUUAGGAAAUAGGAAAGUGGAGAAAAGAAAGGAAAUAAAAAGAGCACGAGCCCUUUUUUAUUUUUCUUACAACGACGACGUAUUUUACGUGCGCGUAGCGUAUGAAAGUCAGCCUAUGUAUCUGUACGUGAAACGUAAUAAAGGCGUGUUUAUGGAA